rnacentral:rRNA from 1 species
CCUACGGGGGGCUGCAGUGGGGAAUAUUGGACAAUGGGGGGAACCCUGAUCCAGCCAUGCCGCGUGUGUGAAGAAGGCCCUCGGGUUGUAAAGCACUUUCAGUGAGGAAGAACGCCUGGUGGUUAAUACCCAUCAGGAAAGACAUCACUCACAGAAGAAGCACCGGCUAACUCCGUGCCAGCAGCCGCGGUAAUACGGAGGGUGCGAGCGUUAAUCGGAAUUACUGGGCGUAAAGCGCGCGUAGGUGGCUUGAUAAGCCGGUUGUGAAAGCCCCGGGCUCAACCUGGGAACGGCAUCCGGAACUGUCAAGCUAGAGUGCAGGAGAGGAAGGUAGAAUUCCCGGUAUAGCGGUGAAAUGCGUAGAGAUCGGGAGGAAUACCAGUGGCGAAGGCGGCCUUCUGGACUGACACUGACACUGAGGUGCGAAAGCGUGGGUAGCAAACAGGAUUAGAUACCCUAGUAGUC